rnacentral:misc_RNA from 1 species
CACCCUCAAGCCCUGCUUGGUGUUGGGCCCUGGCCGUGGCGGCCGGCCCCAAGGACAGUGGCGGCACCGCUGGGACCCGAGCGCAGCACGAAGACCCUCGCUCCGGGGCCCCGCGGCAGCCUGCCAGAACCCUCCAACCCCUUU